ACUGAGUGGCGGACGGGUGAGUAACGCGUGGGUAACCUGCCCUGUACAGGGGGACAACAGUUAGAAAUGACUGCUAAUACCGCAUAAGCGCACAGGACCGCAUGGUCCGGUGUGAAAAACUCCGGUGGUACAGGAUGGACCCGCGUCUGAUUAGGUAGUUGGCGGGGUAACGGCCCACCAAGCCGACGAUCAGUAGCCGACCUGAGAGGGUGAUCGGCCACAUUGGGACUGAGACACGGCCCAAACUCCUACGGGAGGCAGCAG
rnacentral:rRNA from 1 species